UGAGGAAUUUUGCGCAAUGGGAGCAAUCCUGACGCAGCAACGCCGCGUGGGUGAUGAAGGCCUUCGGGUCGUAAAGCCCUGUCAGGUGGGAAGAAUGUCCCGGGACUGAACAGGUUCCGGGAGUGACGGUACCACCAGAGGAAGCACCGGCUAACUCCGUGCCAGCAGCCGCGGUAAUAAGGAGGGUGCAAGCGUUAUUCGGAAUUACUGGGCGUAAAGAGCGUGUAGGCGGUCCUGCAAGUCUGAUGUGAAAGCCCCGGGCUUAACCCGGGAAGUGCAUUGGAAACUGUGGGACUUGAGUACUGGAGAGGAUGGGGGAAUUCCCGGUGUAGAGGUGAAAUUCGUAGAGAUCGGGAGGAAUAUCAGUGGCGAAGGCGCCCAUCUGGACGGUAACUGACGCUGAGACGCGAAAGCGUGGGGAGCAAACA
rnacentral:rRNA from 1 species